rnacentral:rRNA from 1 species
UACGUAGGGGGCAAGCGUUGUCCGGAUUUAUUGGGCGUAAAGCGCUCGCAGGUGGUUCGUCGCGUCGUGCGUGAAAGACCCCGGCUCAACUGGGGGGUGUCGUGCGAUACGGGCAGGCUGGAGUUCGGUAGGGGAGACUGGAAUUCCUGGUGUAGCGGUGAAAUUCGCAGAUAUCAGGAGGAACACCGGUGGCGAAGGCGGGUCUCUGGGCCGAUACUGACGCUGAGGAGCGAAAGCGUGGGGAGCGAACAGG